GACGAACGCUGGCGGCGUGCCUAAUACAUGCAAGUAGAACGCUGAAGAGAGGAGCUUACUCUUCUUGGAUAAGUUGCGAACGGGUGAGUAACGCGUAGGUAACCUGCCUUGUAGCGGGGGAUAACUAUUGGAAACGAUAGCUAUACCGCAUAACAAUGGAUGACACAUGUCAUUUAUUUGAAAGGGGCAAUUGCUCCACUACAAGAUGGACCUGCGUUGUAUUAGCUAGUAGGUGAGGUAAUGGCUCACCUAGGCGACGAUACAUAGCCGACCUGAGAGGGUGAUCGGCCACACUGGGACUGAGACACGGCCCAGACUCCUACGGGAGGCAGCAGUAGGGAAUCUUCGGCAAUGGGGGCAACCCUGACCGAGCAACGCCGCGUGAGUGAAGAAGGUUUUCGGAUCGUAAAGCUCUGUUGUAAGUCAAGAACGGGUGUGAGAGUGGAAAGUUCACACUGUGACGGUAGCUUACCAGAAAGGGACGGCUAACUACGUG
rnacentral:rRNA from 1 species